CCCUGGUUAGCUGAAUCGGUAGAGCGCUCCACCUGUAAUGGAGAGAUGUCGGGUUCGAUACCCGGACCAGGCG
rfam:Ixodes scapularis strain Wikel colony gcontig_1108378363704, whole genome shotgun sequence.